ACAGGUGGUGCAUGGUUGUCGUCAGCUCGUGUCGUGAGAUGUUGGGUUAAGUCCCGCAACGAGCGCAACCCCUACGUUUAGUUGCUAGCAGGUGAAGCUGAGCACUCUAGACGAACUGCCGUUGACAAAACGGGAGGAAGGUGGGAUGACGUCAAAUCAUCAUGCCCCUUAUGUUCUGGGCUACACACGUGCUACAAUGGCCGGUACAGACGGAGGCGAAGCCGCGAGGCGGAGCAAAUCCGAAAAAGCCGGUCUCAGUUCGGAUUGCAGGCUGCAAUUCGCCUGCAUGAAGUCGGAAUCGCUAGUAAUCGCAGGUCAGCAUACUGCGGUGAAUACGUUCCCGGGCCUU
rnacentral:rRNA from 1 species